AGGUAUCAUGGAGGGUGAGAAUCCCGUGUUACCAACCACUGGAGCGUUAUUAAUACGAUUUCUAAGAGUCGAGUUGUUUGGGAAUGCAGCUCUAAAUGGGUGGUAAAUUUCACCUAAUGCUAAAUAUAAGCGAGAGACCGAUAGUGAACAAGUACCGUGAGGGAAAGAUGAAAAGAACUUUGAAAAGAGAGUUAAGUAGUACGUGAAAUUGUUGAAAGGGAAACGGUUGAAGUCAGUCUUACCGGUGGGGAAUAAACUUAGGGGGAAACUCUAAGUGCAUUUACUUCAGCUUGGGUAGGGUUAAACG
rnacentral:rRNA from 1 species